UAAUUCCUAACACUCAAUGCUAUUGUCAAUCUCCGGCAACGGUGCCAAAAUAUAAUUACUGUUUUAUUUAUUCUGUAAAUUUCUUUUAGAAUAAACAUGUAGAGGGAGAUUCGAACGUAGGGAAAGACUAAGCGCAUGAAUUCUACUUAUUAGGAUUACACUAUUAAUCAUAUUCCAAACCAUUGAAAAUACCAAAAAACACCACAAUAUUUUCCACUUCCUAACAGUACUCUAUCAUCACUGAU
rnacentral:lncRNA from 1 species